ACUUCAAGGUUUAAAGUGCUAGUAAGUGACACUUUCAAGGUUUUUUUAUGCGAUUUUCCCUUUUCUCAAUCUUUGUAAUAUCCAAAAGGAUCUUAAUGAUUGAACAGAUUCUACCGAAAGUUUUUUGCAAACUCAUUUAAAAAUAUAUCUUUGAAACUGAAACCUACGACCAAAGAGCUGAACAACAAAAAACCUACGGCCAAAGAAAUAGUUACUAUACUAUCUUUGGCACAUUAUACCACACAAUUUUAGUCCAUAGCAAGUGUUUGUUUUUUAUAUCCCAUGUGGAGAUUCUGGAGAAACCUGAAUGGUAGGAACUAGAUGUGACCCAAGAGUAAUAUCUGGUCCGUGGAGAGGAUAUGGUAUACGCUCCAGAAGAAUCGCAUGAAGGAUUUGAAGAGGCUGGAUUCCAAAAAACCAUCAAAAAAACAAUCACAUUAUCAGUAAAUGCAAGAGGUGAGUUGCAUCUAUUUCAUUACUGUCACAACACCAUGAAUCUUGAGUUUUCAAAUCAGACACCAAGAUCCAUGAAAUUCAAUAUAUAUCUCGAGUUUUCAAAACCUCCUUGAAACAAACAAAAUAAUUCCAAUACUAAAUCCAUGUUUAAUAUAUCAAAAAGACAUAUAUUUGGGAUUCAGUAUUGUUUGAGUCACAACUUACUCGGAUUACAGAUCAUGGUGAGAACAUUGAAAUAAGGAGGAUGAAGAAAAUUAGAAGAAAUUUACUUUUCACAAUGUGCACAGAUUUGGUGAAAAGCUUGUUACAUCUAUACUAUUAAAACAAGAUCAUUCUUCUUUUUCCUUUUAAUGAAAUGUCAAUUUUUUUUCUUCAAAAAUACUUUUGAAUUUACAAAUGAAUUUUAAGUUUCAUCAAUGACAUUUUAAUAUUUUUUGGGCCUAUAACUACAAAGGCUGUCCAGAGAAAUUAUAAGUUAUACAAAUUUUAAAACCCAUUAGUAUCAUUUGAGAAAAAUAUUUUAUUAUACACAAAUGAAAUUUAAUCUUAAAUAUAACCCAUAAAUCAAAUUUUUAGUUGUCAUACUUUAUUAUAAGGAUUCUUAUAUUUUCUUUAUGCUAUAACAUAGUUAAGAUCAAUAAAUACAAAUAAAAAUUAAAAUAACUAUCAUAAAUUAUAAUUUAUUUUAAAUUAUCAUUUGGCGUUAUAAGUUAUACCAUACAAGUAGAACUUAGUAAUUAAAAAUAAGUUUAAAAUAAUUAUCAUUAGGCGUUAUAAAUUAUAGCACACCUAUAGUACUUAGUAAUUGUUAAUAGGUCUAUGAAUUUUGUUAUUGUAAUUACAUCAAUAUAUUAUUUUCUUAGUAAUUGUUAUAAUAGGUUUUUGAAUUUUUACUCUAUAUAAAUUAACAAACAUAAUGACAUCUAAAUAUCAUUUUCUUAAAUCUACGUAUCAACUCUCACGAUAGGCAAAAUGUUAAACAAAAAUUAUUAUUAUUCAAUGUAAUAUUAAAAAAAUAUAUGAGUAAUUUAAUGAAAAAGUUUUAAAAAUAUUAUCAGAUAUUUUGGAUCUAUAUCAGAUCAACAGUAUCAGAUAACGGGUUAAUAGCAUGUCUAAAUUAUUUUCUUGGGUUAAUAGCAAAUUUACUGGUUCGACCAUGAGUUUGAUGAAUCGGAUAUGAAAACACAGUUUAAAACUCAAAAAUUAUAAUAAAAUAGUUUUAUAUUAUUUUUUUAAUAAAAAGUUAUAAAUUUAUACAUAUUAUCAAAAUAGUCAAUAAAAAAAUAUCCAGAUUUUGAAAAAGCGGAUCAAAAAUAUAUUAUUGAUCUGCUUUUCAAAAUUUGGAUAUUUGUUUUAUUGACUAUUUUGAUAAUUUGUAGUUGUAGUAGCGUCGAAAUCGAAUAGGUAUAAAAUAGUGUAUAUUGAUAAUGUACAUCUUCACUAUAUUAAUAAUGUUCAUGGUUUUGAAAGUGAAAUUUAACCGAGUGAUCAAUACGACAUGUCGAUAUCAAGGCACAACAUACCAGUUAAAUUUAUUUAUGGGGAAUUGCCACUAAUACCACUUUUCUAAUAUCACUUUUCAACUUUACACUAACCAUUUUUACCUUCAUCUUUAAUGAAGGGUAAAAAACAUUUAUAACCUUAUUUAAUGAAACAUAAACAUAUUCUCCAACAAGAAUUUUCAAAAUUCCCAAAUUGAUCGACGACUCCAAUUAGAGUUUCGACGAGACGAUUCCGGCGAGAAAAUGAGAGAGAUCCUCCACAUCCACGGCGACCAAUGUGGAAACCAGAUCGGAGCCAAGUUCUGGGAAGUGAUCUGCGACGAGCACGGCGUUGACCACACCGGCCAAUACGUCGGCGACUCUCCCCUCCAGCUCGAACGUAUCGAUGUCUACUUCAACGAAUUCUCGAUGUUGUGAGGAAGGAAGCUGAGAACAGUGAUUGCCUACAAGGUUUCCAAUUUUGUCAUUCGUUGGGAGGAGGAACUGGAUCUGGGAUGGGAACGCUUUUGAUCUCUAAGAUUAGGGAGGAGUAUCCAGAAUGUGGUUUGUACGGUCAAAGAAUUAAAUAUUUAUAACUCUUUAUAAAAGUUGCAGAGUUGGCUUCUUUA